rnacentral:rRNA from 1 species
GAUGAACGCUGGCGGCGUGCUUUAACACAUGCAAGUCGGGCGAAGCGCCUGGAAGUUUUCGGACGGAUAGGUGACUGAGCGGCGGACGGGUGAGUAACGCGUGGGUAACCUGCCUCAUACAGGGGGAUAACAGUUAGAAAUGACUGCUAAUACCGCAUAAGCGCACAGGACCGCAUGGUCUGGUGUGAAAAACUCCGGUGGUAUGGGAUGGACCCGCGUUGGAUUAGGCAGUUGGCGGGGUAACGGCCCACCAAACCGACGAUCCAUAGCCGGCCUGAGAGGGUGAACGGCCACAUUGGGACUGAGACACGGCCCAAACUCCUACGGGAGGCAGCAGUGGGGAAUAUUGCACAAUGGGGGAAACCCUGAUGCAGCGACGCCGCGUGAGUGAAGAAGUUAAUUCGUAAUGUAAAGCUCUAUCAGCAGGGAAGAAAAUGACGGUACCUGACUAAGAAGCCCCGGCUAACUACGUGCCAGCCGCCGCUGUAAC